rnacentral:lncRNA from 1 species
UUAGGGUUUUAAACCCUAAACUGAACUCUUUCCUUCAGUCAGCAUUAGGAUUUUAAACCCUAAAUUGAACUCUUUUCCUUUAGUCAGCAUUAGGGUUUUAAACCUUAAACUGAACUCUUUUCCUUCAGUCAACAUUAGAGUUUUAAACCCUAAACUGAACUCUUUUCCUUCAGUCAGCAUUAGGGUUUUAAACCCUAAACUGAACUAUUUUCCUUCAGUCAGCAUUAGGGUUUUAAACCCUAAACUGAACUUUUUCCAUUUAGUUAGCAUUAGGGUUUUAAACCUUAAACUGAACUUUUCCCUUUAAUCAGGAUUAGGGUUUUAAACCCUAAACUGAAAUCUUCCAUUUAGUCAGCAUUAGUGUGUUAAACCUUAAACUGAACUUUUCCCUUUAAUUAGGAUUAGGGUUUUAAACCCUAAACUAAACUUUUCCUUAAUCAGCAUCAGGGCCCCAACCCUAUACUGAACUUUUCCCCAGUUGGUCAGCAUUAGGGUUUCAACUCUAAACUGAGCUCCUCCCCAGCUAGUCAGCAUUAGGGCUCCAACCCUGAACUGAAUUAUUUCCAUUCCACCAGCAUUAGGGCUUCAACCCUAAACUGAGCAUUCUUACAUUGUGGCAAUAUUAGUGAUCUAAUCCCGGAGUUGACAUUUUGUAGACUGAAAUCUUCCAAUUCCUUCAUCAAUUCUACAAAACUUCCUGGCAAAUAACUCACGAAAUUUUCCUAGUGAAACUGGGGCAGAAAAUUUCGUUCGUUUGUUUUUCCCCGCAGGUCUGACCUCGAGGCACAUGGAUCGAAACGACCCACGAGAUGAGCCUCAACCCAGAAUAAAAAAAGAGAAGAUGCUCCGAGAUGCUUGAAA